AAAAAAAAUUGAAAAUACUGGAGUUCCAGAACAAUCAAAUGAACAAGAGAAGGAAACUUCAAAAAUAGAUGAUGCAUCAACAAAUCAAGGAAAAAAAAACAACUGAAGAGGAAGCAAAAACUGAUCACCUACAACAAGAAAAGGCUGGAUCAGAAUUAGUGAAUACAGG